rnacentral:snRNA from 1 species
AUACUCUUGUUUCUCUUCAGAUCAUAUAAAUCUUUUGCCUUUUCCUAAAGAUUUUCGUGAAGAGGAACAAUUCUGAGCCUUAACCCAAUUUUUUGAGGCCUUGCACCUGCAAGGCU